AGUGAACGCUGGCGGUAGGCCUAACACGUGCAAGUCGAACGGCAGCACAGUAAGAGCUUGCUCUUACGGGUGGCGAGUGGCGGACGGGUGAGGAAUACAUCGGAAUCUACUUUUUCGUGGGGGAUAACGUAGGGAAACUUACGCUAAUACCGCAUACGACCUACGGGUGAAAGCAGGGGAUCUUCGGACCUUGCGCGAUUGAAUGAGCCGAUGUCGGAUUAGCUAGUUGGCGGGGUAAAGGCCCACCAAGGCGACGAUCCGUAGCUGGUCUGAGAGGAUGAUCAGCCACACUGGAACUGAGACACGGUCCAGACUCCUACGGGAGGCAGCAGUGGGGAAUAUUGGACAAUGGGCGCAAGCCUGAUCCAGCCAUACCGCGUGGGUGAAGAAGGCCUUCGGGUUGUAAAGCCUUUUUGUUGGGAAAGAAAAGCAGCAGGUUAAUACCCCGCUGUUCUGACGGUACCCAAAGAAUAAGCACCGGCUAACUUCGUG
rnacentral:rRNA from 1 species